ACGCAUAAUGGUAAAAUUAGAUAUAUUUCACCAUAAUUACAUUAAAUAAGUUACCAAAUAGGAAUUAUGGUAUAAU
rnacentral:sRNA from 20 species